rnacentral:misc_RNA from 1 species
CAACAUAAAAAGGUUAAACUUCCUUUCUUUCUGGGAGCUUAGAGAGGAAAUCCAAGUGAACACUAUAGGGAGAAAGAAAAAAAAAUCCAAUCUUUAAAGAGGAACUUACAGAAACCAAUAUUCAACAAUAAAAUUUCUGAAAAGAUAGAAAUCUCAGAUCAGAAAAUUAGGGUUUUCGUACAAUAUGUCGACGGGCAGGAUCAAGGACGAUGACUUACAGGUGGUGGUGCCGGAGGAGAAGUCGAAGCUCGCUCUCCCUCCACGUCCACCGUCUGCGGCUGCGGGAUCAACGGCGCUUGUGGAGUACUCAGCGCCUUUGUUUAAGGAAGAGGAGGAGGACUUGGAAGUCAAGCUUCGACGAAUCAUCGAAAACGUGCCUGUUCGAGUCAGUAACACUUCUGGCAGUUCUGCUGGUUCUGGCUCCGGCGACUUCCAUCAGUAUCGGCAAAUGAGGCGGAAAGAGCAAGACCGGCUGGUAAGGAUGGAUGCUGACUACCAGAAAAGAAAAGAACUGGCCGAGUUCAAUAAGCGAAGGGAGGAAAGGUUAAAAGCUGCAGAAGAACGGACGGCAAAGAAGCGUUUGAAACGCCAAAAGAAAAAGAAUAGGAAGAAAGAGAAGAAGAUAAAAUCAAAUGCUAGCGGGGAAGAGCAUCAGAAAGAAGAAUCUUCAGAUGAUGCAGGGGACUCUGAUAAUGGUGAAGAAGCUGCAAACUGAACGAGGUUUACUCAGGAAUUGUUAAAGUCCAACCUUUCCUUCAAGUUUGGUUUUUGCCAGGCACAUCUGGGGAACUCGAUUAAACUUCAAUCUUUUGUAUCUCUAGUUUUUCGCAUUUAUGCUUAUAAGAUUUCUUGGUAUGUAACUUUUCAAGCAUGAUGCCAAAGGACGCAAAAAAAAAAAAAAAAAAAAAAAAGUAGA